rnacentral:lncRNA from 1 species
CUUUUAUACACGGUGUGAACUGGGGAACCAACUUUUUUUCAUUGAUUUUAUUUUUUUAAAUACAUGACAGCGGAAUGUAUUACAAUUCUUAUAACACAUAGAGAGCACAAUUUUUCAUAUCUUUGUAUAAAGUAUAUGGGGAACCAACCUUUUAUAUUUUCCCCUUUUAACUAACCAAUUGUCCACCAUCAUUUAGUUGAUAGCAUUCUCUUCCCCAGCCAUCUGUAUUUUCACUCUGUCUUUCGUGGGUUCCCUCUCUGUUUUGUUGGUCAAUAAAUGUAACUUCGUGUCUAUACCAUACAAUGUCAAUUAUUCUAUUUUUACAAGAAGCCUGCAUAACGGGUUGGACAAAUGCUAUUAUCUUUUUAAAAUUUAGGAAUAUUUGGGCUAUUCUCGGGCUUUUAAAUUUCCAUAUAAGUUAUUCAGCAAAACGUUUAGAGUUUCCUAAAAAAAAUAUACAGGUGGAAUUUGCUUUUUGAAAGGGCCAAUGCAGCUUCAUUUAUGUAGCUUUCAAACUCCAUUAUCCAAGUUCAAGGUCCUUCUGCCAGAGUUAAACGCCUGUCUCUGCUAGAUUGCUGUGCACCGUCCCAAAGUGUGAUAGAGCAGUUUUGGAGGUCCCAAUGCCUGCUGCUCUUGUUCCCAUGAAACACUGCUCCAGAAGGUCAUAUGUAUGUGCUGCUCAGCCAUGUGCCUGCUUGCACAGGUUCUGGUAAAUAUGCCACAAUGAGUUCAUUUACUUUCUCAGGGAUGGACAUGCAGGUUCCCUCUAGUUUUGAGAUGCCACAAAC